rnacentral:rRNA from 1 species
AACGAACGCUGGCGGCAUGCCUAACACAUGCAAGUCGAACGAGACCUUCGGGUCUAGUGGCGCACGGGUGCGUAACGCGUGGGAACCUGCCCUUAGGUUCGGAAUAACUCCCCGAAAGGGGUGCUAAUACCGGAUAAUGUCUUCGGACCAAAGAUUUAUCGCAUUUGGAUGGGCCCGCGUUGGAUUAGCUAGUUGGUAGGGUAAAAGCCUACCAAGGCGACGAUCCAUAGCUGGUCUGAGAGGAUGAUCAGCCACACUGGGACUGAGACACGGCCCAGACUCCUACGGGAGGCAGCAGUGGGGAAUAUUGGACAAUGGGCGAAAGCCUGAUCCAGCAAUGCCGCUUGAGUGAUGAAGGCCUUAGGGUUGUAAAGCUCUAUUACCCGGGAUGAUAAUGACAGUACCGGGAGAAUAAGCUCCGGCUAACUCCGUG